rnacentral:lncRNA from 1 species
UUUAGAAUCUGACUUAAGAGUUUAAAAUCAAAGAAAAAAAGUCAACAUUAUGCACCACCCCCCCCCCCCCCUCUUGUGUUUUUCUCACCUUUACUACACACAAAUACAAACAAUCUCCUUCUGAACUUCUUACCCUCACUAUCAAUUAUCACUCACAAUACUAGACUGAAGUCCUUCAACACUGAACCAAAGUCCUACAACACUGAACUA